rnacentral:rRNA from 1 species
GACGAACGCUGGCGGCGUGCCUAACACAUGCAAGUCGAGCGGGGAUUUAAGUGGAAGUCCUUCGGAAUGGAGAUUUAAAUUCUAGCGGCGGACGGGUGAGUAACGCGUGAACAAUCUGUCCCGGACAGGGGGAUAACACUUGGAAACAGGUGCUAAUACCGCAUAAGACCACGGCCUCGCAUGGGGCUGAGGUAAAAGGAGCAAUCCGGUUCGGGGUGAGUUCGCGUCCGACUAGCUAGUUGGUGAGGUAACGGCCCACCAAGGCGACGAUCGGUAGCCGGCCUGAGAGGGUGAACGGCCACAUUGGAACUGAGAGACGGUCCAAACUCCUACGGGAGGCAGCAGUGGGGAAUAUUGGGCAAUGGGCGUAAGCCUGACCCAGCAACGCCGCGUGAGGGAAGAAGGUUUUCGGAGUGUAAACCUCUGUCCUAUGGGACGAAGGAAGUGACGGUACCAUAGGAGGAAGCCCCGGCUAACUACGUG